GGAGGAGCGCAUACGCAACUACAACUACAUUGGUUUUCAAAUUACGAUAGUCAUAAAACGCGUAAUCGCUAACCGCCGCGGUAGAUCUAGACGGUUUUAAUUGUAUUUAACACGAGAAACGAAGAAUAGAGCAAUGGUGCAAGAUUUCAACCAAGCAGUUGAUGGUGCGUUAGUGACUUGUAAUGGCUGAUUGGCGAUAUUAACAAGCUUGAAAGCUGCA